rnacentral:lncRNA from 1 species
CGGACGGAGUCCAAUAUUGCAAUUUUCUCGCGCGAAAGAAUAAUCUCCCGUCUCGUCGUCUACUCCGCUCCUUGUGCCAUCUCGCGGCGGAACAGGGGAGGGGAGGGGCGGCGAUCUCCAUCCGGCGAGCGGCGAGCGGCGAGCAGCGAGCAGAGCAGAGCAGGGGAGGAGAUCCUGGGCUUCUCCUUUCUUCAUAAUGUAGGCAAUAUAGGGGUGCCAAAUUGGAUCGUAGCGUCGUCUCCGUCUCCGUCUUGUCCACAGCUCCAGGCUCCACUCCUUGUGCUGCCACCCUCCCCUUUGCUUUGGACGUCGCCUCCUCAUCAAUGCACGCCGAGCGUCGCGUCUUCCUCCAGCUCAUCUCAACGCCGGCGGCCGGUUCCACGCGGUGGCCGCGGCGGCCUCUGCCCCUCCGCUCGUUCCUCUCCUUGGGUGGGGGUCUUUAGAGCGCAGGGAGCCGCUCCGCCAGCCACAGCCCACAGGUACCUUCUGCGUGCUGCCUAUCCGUGUCCAUGUUGGUGUCGACUGCUGCGAUCUCUGGUGAAGUGCUGCUUGCCAUGGCAGCUGAAGCUAGCAGCAUGGGAGAGCGAAGGAAACCAGCUGCACCGAAGCACUGAGCAAGAUGGAAAAUCCUCGUCGGCGGUAUGGGUGGAGCAGUGUUUUUGGAUUCGUUUUGGUUUGGAAUGGGUUGAACCCAUAUUUCUGCCUUUGGUUUGGAUUGAUCCUACAGUUAGACUGGAUUGGUUUGGGUUUUAUCUCUGA